rnacentral:rRNA from 1 species
UUGAAUGAAAUUUUCGGAUGGAAUUCUUGAUUAUCUUAGCGGCGGACGGGUGAGUAACGCGUGAGAAACCUGCCUUUCACAAAGGGAUAGCCUCGGGAAACUGGGAUUAAUACCUUAUGAUACUAAUAUAUCGCAUGAUAGAUUAGUUAAAGCGUAAAGCGGUGAAAGAUGGUCUCGCGUCCCAUUAGUUAGUUGGUGAGGUAAUGGCUCACCAAGACCGCGAUGGGUAGCCGGCCUGAGAGGGUGAACGGCCACACUGGAACUGAGACACGGUCCAGACUCCUACGGGAGGCAGCAGUGGGGAAUAUUGCACAAUGGAGGAAACUCUGAUGCAGCGACGCCGCGUGAACGAUGAAGGCCUUCGGGUCGUAAAGUUCUGUCCUAGGGGACGAUAAUGACGGUACCCUAGGAGGAAGCCCCGGCUAACUACGUGCCAGCAGCCGCGGUAAUACGUAGGGGGCGAGCGUUGUCCGGAAUUAUUGGGCGUAAAGGGUUCGUAGGCGGUUAUUUAAGUCAGGUGUGAAAGGCGCAGGCUCAACCUGUGUAAGCACUUGAAACUGAGUAACUUGAGUUAAGGAGAGGAAAGUGGAAUUCCUAGU